rnacentral:rRNA from 1 species
AUGGCCGAGACCGUCGACGACAAGCUCGCCUACUUCCAGGCCGUCACAGGCAUCUCCGACCCCGACCUCUGCACCGAGAUUCUCGUGGCCAACAACUGGGACCUCCAGCUCGCCGUCUCCUCCAUCACCGGCGACCCCUCCUCGCCCGAGCCGUCCACUUACGCCCCGCCGCCCCCGCCUCCGCUGGAGUCCGAUUCCAUCGCCUACCACCCCCCUGCACCGGCUCCGCAGCAGCAGCAGCAGCCGGGGAUCGCGUGGAGGCUGGUGACGCUCCCCUUCUACGUCGUCUCCGGUGGGGUCGGCCUCGUCACCGGUUCCAUCCGUCUCGGUGUCUGGGUCGCAAGCGGCGUGCUGUCCCGAUCCCUCUCCCUCCUCGGCCUCGCGCAGCGCGGCGGUGACCGCUUGCUUGAGCUGCCCCCGUCCGCCGCGGAGGCGGUUGACUUCCUGGCCGAGUUCGAGCACGAGUUUGGGGCUGGCCGUGGCCCGCGCUUUGUUGCUGAGGGAUUUGCAGACGCGCUGCAGCGUGCGCAGCGUGAGUACAAGCUUCUCUUCGUGUACCUCCACUCCCCUGACCACCCGGACACCCCAGCAUUCUGCGGUGGCUGCCUCUGCUCCGAGCCCGUGGCCGCCUUCAUAGAUGAGAACUUCGUUGCAUGGGGUGGUAGCAUCAGAAGGACUGAAGGGUUCAAGAUGAGCAACAGCCUGAACGCAUCACGCUUCCCGUUUUGUGCGCUAGUCAUGGCAUCUACGAACCAGAGAAUUGUGCUGUUGCAGCAGGUUGAGGGGCCCAAAUCACCUGAAGAAAUGAUAACAAUUCUUCAGAGAGUUGUUGAAGAAUGCACUACGUCCCUUGUUGCUGCCAGGAUUGAAGCUGAAGAAAGACUAAACAAUCAACGUUUGCGUGAGGAACAAGAUGCUGCUUACAGAGCUGCACUUGAAGCUGAUCAGGCCAGAGAACGCCAGAUGAGAGAGGAACAAGAAAGACUUGAAAGAGAGGCCGUGGAGGCUGAGAGGAAGCGUAUAGAAGAUGAGGAAGCACAAGCCAGGGCAGUCCAAGAAGCAGCUGAAAAGGAAGCCGCUCUUGCAAGGAGACGGCAAGAGAAGGCAAUGGCUCUUGGCGCUGAGCCUGAGAAAGGGCCUGACGUUACUCGAGUUCUUAUAAGAUUUCCAACUGGAGAGCGCAAAGAAAGGAGAUUCCACAGUUCCGCCACCAUUACCUUGAUAUAUGACUUUGUUGAUUCUUUGGAUUGCUUGAAAGCGGAAAAGUACAGCCUAGUUUCUAAUUUUCCACGGGUAACAUACGGUCCUGAAAAGAACUCCCAAACGCUGGUGGAAGCAGGUUUGCACCCACAAGCAAGCCUAUUUAUCGAGAUAGAACAAUGA